rnacentral:tRNA from 1 species
AUUUAUAUAGUUUAAUUUAAAACAUUACAUUUUCACUGUAAAAUUAAGACUAUCUUUAUAAAUU